UUUUUUUAUCCUGUAUUUCAUUACUUUGUUUUUGUUUCUUGUCUCCCCCUUCGUUGCUUUAGAAGUGUCGCUUCUGUAAACUCAUGGUAACUCUUCUUUCCUCUUGUUUCUCCUUCCUUAUUUUUUUUCCAGAUCUAUGUCUUUUUCAGAAAUUUGUGCUGUCAGCACUCUUCCGCCGAGGCCACCAAACUCAUUCUCACUAAUUGUCAGUGGUAUCCGUUUUUCCGCACCGAACUCAUUUUCACUAAUUGUCGGUGGUAUCGCUGUCGAACGCUGAUGCUCUCCACCAC
rnacentral:lncRNA from 1 species